GACACGCUCCUUAGAUCCACCUCUGGAGGGCGCUGUGCUCUGAGCAGAGCCCCCUCAGCAGCUUUUGUGGCUGUACAGUUGGAGGUGCUUGAGUCAUUGGCGUGUGAGAUCAGUCUACCUUCUCCCCGGCUCAGCUGCAGUACCUGCAACCCUGUCCACUAGGACGGGGAGUUCCCGGUCCUGUUAGCCAGGGGAGUGGACAGC